UACGGAGGGUGCGAGCGUUGUCCGGAUUUAUUGGGCGUAAAGAGCGUGUAGGCGGUUUGGUAGGUCCGUUGUGAAAACUCGAGGCUCAACCUCGAGACGCCGAUGGAAACCAUCAGACUAGAGUCCGGAAGAGGAGGGUGGAAUUCCUGGUGUAGCGGUGAAAUGCGCAGAUAUCAGGAAGAACACCCGUGGCUAAGGCGGCUCUCUAGUACGGUACUGACGCUGAGACGCGAAAGCGUGGGGAGCGAACAGG
rnacentral:rRNA from 1 species